UUUGCAAGCAGGGGGUCGUGGGUUCGAUUCCCAUCAGCUCCACCA
rnacentral:tRNA from 1 species